GGCCUAGCCGCUGCACGGCAUGUGGGAUCCUCCCAGACCAGGGCUCGAACCCGUGUCCCCUGCAUUGGCAGGCAGACUCCCAACCACUGCGCCACCAGAAAGGUCCCACCGAGAUUUGAACUCGGAUCGCUGGAUUCAGAGUCCAGAGUGCUCACCAUUACACCAUGGAACCCGCCGCCUCCGGCUCCGCUGCUCCUUCUACUGAGCCAGGACGGGCACAGCUCCGCGGGCCCAGGAGCGGCCUCCCGCCGGGCGCUCUCGUCACCCCUCCCCGAGCCCGCUUCCUCCGCGACGCCAGGAGGAACCUGACGCGCCUGCCCUCCGCCGUCUCUUCAGGUUUCUACCUGGUGGAGAAAGACGGAAUCUAUUCUGGCUGAGCGAUAAGAAAUGUUUUCAGGGCUUCUCCCCAAUCCACCUGCGCGGUGAGCAACCCUAGUGUUUCCCCUUUAAGUAAAAUCCCUGCCAGGAAAAACAAAACUUUUUUCCGUUUUUUUCGCAGUUGUCCUCUUCCCGCUCUCUUGGGAGCUUAGAACAUCGUCAAACAGCCUUUGAUAUUUGGGGGGACGAUCUUCCCUUGCGAUCGCAAGUUGCUGCCGGCUUCGUUGGGGCACAAAAUGUUUUUUUUCUUUAUUCUUGGCAAUUGGAUCAGAACCGCAAAAACUUUGAUUACAUGGUAGCACCACCGCUACGUGUGCGUUGAAAAUGCACUAAAAAAUUUCAUGCAGAAAAACCGUUUAUCACACGGCUGAGUACGAAAACGCUCUUACUCAAACCGCCAGAGUUCAAGAAAUCACAAAAGGGGGCAGAUAUGGGAAACUACGCACAAAAAAACCUUGCAAAAACUUCUACUACAACGCAAGUACAUAAAGAGAACACAAUCACAGAAAACAAAUUCUUACGCGUUUUAUUCCCCCCAGAUGUUUAGCUCUACUAUUAAACACCAAUUGCGGGGGGAAAGCGCGCACGCAGUCCCCCACUACCACAAAUUAUGCAGUCGAGUUUCUCCCAUUUGGAGAAAUCGCAGGCGUCAGCACACUCGCAGUGCAAUGAGUGAGCCUCGUCCUGGGAAAACCACCCUCAUGAUCAUGAUAUCUCCUCUGCCAGAAUACAAGAAAUGAAGAUUCUGAAAAAGAAGCUGAUGACCAAGAUAAGGGAUAGAAAGAUGACGUGUUUGCUUGAAGAGUGAGGGAACACCGGUUCGAGCCCUGGUCCGGGAAGAUCCCACAUGCCGCGGAGCAACUAAGUUCGUGUGCCACAACUAAUGAGCCUGUGCUAUAGAGCCCGCAAGCCACAACUACUGAAGCCCGUGCGCCUAGAGCCCAUGCUCUGCAACAAGAGAAGCCACCGCAUUGAGAAGUCCUGGCACCGCAAUGAAGAGUAGCCCCUGCUCGCCGCAACUAGAGAAAGCCUGCGUGUAGCGACGAAGACCCAAUGCAGCCAAAAAUAAAUAAGUAAAAUAAAUAAAUAAAAUAAAUUUAUUAAAAGAA